rnacentral:rRNA from 1 species
GACGCACGCUGGCGGCGUGCUUAACACAUGCAAGUCGAACGAAGUGGCGAACGGGUGAGUAAUACGGGGGUAACCUGCCCUCCUUUUUGGGAUAAGCCUUGGACACGAGGUCUACUACCAACUCAAGGGGGGUUGGCUCGGGGCCUAGCAGCGUGUUGGUGUGUGGAGGGCCUACCAAGGCGGGGACGGGUAGCCGGCCUGAGGGGGGGACCGGACACAGUGGGCGUGCGAUACGGCACAGACUGCUAGGGGGGGGAGCAGUGGGGGAUAUUGCACAAUGGGCGAAAGCCUGAUGCAGCGACGCCGAGUGGGGGAUGAAGGCGUUCGGGUUGUAAACCUCUUUCGCUAGCGAACGGGUAGGUGGAGAGGAAGCGACGGCUAACUACGUGCCAGCAGCCGCGGUAAUUC